rnacentral:rRNA from 1 species
CACGUAGGACGCAAGCGUUAUCCGGAAUUACUGGGCGUAAAGAGCGUGUAGGCGGUUUUGUAAGUCAACCGUGAAAGCUCCCGGCUAAACUGGGAGAGUGCGGAUGAGACUGCAGGGCUAGUGGGUCGUAGAGGAAUGUGGAAUUCCGGGUGUAGUGGUGAAAUUCGUAGAUAUUCGGAGGAACACCAGUGGCGAAGGCGGCUCACUGGUCCAUUACUGACGCUGAGGUGCGAAAGCGUGGGGAGCAAACAGG